AGUGAACGCUGGCGGUAGGCCUAACACAUGCAAGUCGAACGGCAGCACAGUAAGAGCUUGCUCUUACGGGUGGCGAGUGGCGGACGGGUGAGGAAUACAUCGGAAUCUACUUUUUCGUGGGGGAUAGCGUAGGGAAACCUACGCUAAUACCGCAUACGACCUACGGGUGAAAGCAGGGGAUCUUCGGACCUUGCGCGAUUGAAUGAGCCGAUGUCGGAUUAGCUAGUUGGCGGGGUAAAGGCCCACCAAGGCGACGAUCCGUAGCUGGUCUGAGAGGAUGAUCAGCCACACUGGAACUGAGACACGGUCCAGACUCCUACGGGAGGCAGCAGUGGGGAAUAUUGGACAAUGGGCGCAAGCCUGAUCCAGCCAUACCGCGUGGGUGAAGAAGGCCUUCGGGUUGUAAAGCCCUUUUGUUGGGAAAGAAAAGCAGCAGGUUAAUACCCCGCUGUUCUGACGGUACCCAAAGAAUAAGCACCGGCUAACUUCGUG
rnacentral:rRNA from 1 species